AUUCGAAAUGAAACGAAGAAAUAAGUAGAAGCGAAGGUCCCCGGAGAGGUGAAUGAGGAUUUUACCACUAUGGACAUUUGAACCAUAUGCAGAAGAAGACGGGUCUGGAACUAGAAAGCUAGGCUCUGACUGGUCUACUACAGCAAGGAAUGUGCCAGCGGCCAAUCUGAUGAACAUGUGGCAGAAGAUUUGGCAAUGGGUGAAGAAAUACUGAGAUUGAAAUGCAACCACAGGUGGAGGCUUUACCCAAACUUUUCAGACAGACAUGAGAUACAAAGUUACCCAAGUAUAAAUGGUUGAAGGUUUAGGAGAGCCAGACAAGAAGGCAGGAAAUGUGAUGUCACUUGUAAGUUACUUCAAUAAACAUGAACAGCAGCAGGAGCAACAACAGCAUCAGCAGCCGAAACCACAACUGCAGUAAGAGAUACAACAACCACACCAACAACACCAAGAGCAGCAGCAAAAACAAUUGCAAUUCCAGCAACCACGAUGACAACAGCAGCAACACCAACAACACUAAUGAAUAUUGAAAAACUUGUACAAAAGUCAAUGAAGCCACAGUUUUCAGACAUUAUCAGACAUUAUCGAUUAAAA